UGGACGCCUGACGGUUAAGCCGCCAGAUUUCCCAAGAGACUUAACAACUCAGCUACGAACGCUUUAAGCCCAAUAAAAGUGGCCACCACUCGAGCCGCCGGUAUUACCGCGGCGGCUGGCACCGGUCUUGCCCGGCCCUUUCUUCAGGUGUUUUUUAGACACCCGGACAGCCUGCAUAUACAGGCACUCGAGGUUCCCUUAUCACGGUUUCCCGCAUUGUAAAGUUUUCGCGCCUGCUGCGCCCCGUAGGGCCUGGAUUCGUGUCUCAGAAUCCAACUCCGGGCUCUUGCUCCCACAACCCGUACCGAUUAUCGGCUUGUUGGGCCGUUACCCCAACAACAACCUAAUCGGCCGCAGAUCCAUCCUAAGGCGCCGGAACUUUCGGUUACAGGGCAUUCCAGCGUCUGUAACCUAUAGGGUAUUAUCCUCAGAUUCCCGAGGUUAUCCCCUUCCCUAGGGCAGGUUAUCCACGUGUUACUGAGUAAUACGCCGAGGGCCGAACCCUCUCGACUCGCAUGGCUUAAUCGAACCCCGAUAGCAGUGACCUCUGGCAGGAUCAACCAGAUCUGCAGCGGCCGCGGACCGCA
rnacentral:rRNA from 1 species